rnacentral:lncRNA from 1 species
AACCUGUUAAAUUCAGUAUAAUCUUCCUAUUUUAAGAUCACUUGAUUAUCAACCUUAAUUCUAUCUGCAAUCCUAAUUUCCCUAUGCCAUGUAAUUAACAUAUACAGAGGUUCUGGGGAUUAGGAUGCAGUCCUCUUUGGGGGCCAUUAUUCUGUCUUCCACACCUAGAAAUAGGAGUUGUAGUGUGACAGGGCUCGUGAGAAUCAGAAAAAAAGAAGUGACACAAAACAAGCUGCAAAGCUGUAAGCUAGCCUAUUUUGAGUUGUGACCUUAUCCCCAUGUUAUUGCUAGAUAAUGUUUAUCAAACAAGGGACUCAGGGAGUAGCACAUAAAUAUUUCAUGUGGGAUUGGUGUCACAGGCUGAGUUUCCCAGAAGCCAACACAGAAAUGGAAACUUCCAUGAAGAACAUUUAUUAGGAGUGGUCUUCGGAUUAACACCUUCGAAACAGAAGGAAAAUGAUAAACAAUUUGUGCAGAGAGAGAAGUUGGACUGCAAAGCAGUCUCAGCAAAGGUAUCUGCUGACCCCACAGGGAACUCUGAAGGUGGGGUGAGGGUGCUAGACCAGUAAAGCUCAUUGGAUGUGGGCUGCUCCAGGAAGGGGAAUGGGGUGUGACCUUGAGUGAGGCAUCUCUCUUCAGCUAAGGCACUUCCUGGAGAAGUCUGUCUGCCAGCAAAUCCCCAGCAGCUUGAGGGAAUAAGUUCACCAAUCCUAAGGAGAAAUCUGAGUGGUGCAUCCCAAUGCCCACUACAAAAGGACUCUAGUGUAGGGAGCUGGUCAAUGAACUGGGGGGAACUCUCCAAGGCUUAGGUCCUAGAGCAGAGAAAGUGUGGGUAGGAAAUGUAGGGAUUUUCCCAGGCAGGCAAAGAGUUGAUUCAGAAAGGAUAUUUUUUCAUCUUCUACCUAUACCCCAGUCUCUGCAGAACUCUGAGGCUCCCUACCUAUAGGGAGACAGUCUGCCUGCCGGUCACCUCCUACUCAUCACUGGAAUCACAGACAGAACAAGUGGUGGCAACACUGGCCUGAAGAUUCCUGACAACGUAGGUCUGGCCGGGAUUGGAAGCGUCAUCCAGCCUCAGGCCGGGGACCCGCCGCCAAGCGCCGCCUCCGCGGGAUGGUCCUCGGCAGCCGCCGUAGCGCAGAGACGAAUCCGCGCGCCCCCAGGCUGCCGCGAGCUACCAGGAGGCUUCCACCUGAGCGGCGCGUCCUCAGGGCUUGGGCCUGGCCUCCUUGCCUGUGAGGUGGCACUGUGGCAGUGCCCACCUCGUGGGCUGUGUGAGGGCCGAGUGAAAUCGUGCAUAUGCGGUAAGAAAGUGCUUUUCACGGUGCCCUGUCCUAAUAUGGGCUGCCAGCCUAAGUACAGAGGCACAGUCCCAGCCCAAAGGCCAGUUUCCAGGUGAGCCCCUGUCGGGGAGACCACCAGACGGAACAGUGCCAGUCUACACUCCUGCACCGAGCAGGGCACAGUGUGGACGGCAGAGAGGUCUGAAGUCCCUUUAGAAUAAGGAUAAUGCUUCAGGGUUGUUAAAAGGAUUAAAUGAGAUGAUAUCUAAAGGGAUUAGCACAGUGGCUGAUGCUAAAAUAAAUCAUUUUCCCUACUGCCACUGCCCUUAAAACCAGACGCCUGCAACAGCCGGCCGGUACGUCUCCUCAUUUGUAAACUGGAGUUAGCAGGUGUGUUGUGAAGAUUGAGAAAAUUACGCAUAGGCAGAACCUGGCGUUUAAUAUUUGGGAAAUGGCAGCAAUUCUUUCUUCACUAGAUAAUCUACAGGCUGCACUGUGGUAGGCACAUAUGCUUAGCACCGAUUCUUAUAAGUGCAGGUGAAGAGAGAGAGAAGACAUAUUGUGUAAGUCGAAGGAGCCAGCCGCGUCCAGGCCGCAGCAAAACCUCAGCAGUACUGUACCAGGGCCCUCUUCUGUGAAUGAAUCUCCUCUUUGGCCUGUUUCCUGUCUGUUUGCAUUUGCUGCACCCAUCAGUUCCCAGACCUGGCCUUUAAAGCCAGGAGCUCUAGGAUGCUUGUCCCAAUCCUAGAAAACAAGUACAGCACACACCAACAGCAGCACCCCUAAAAGCCAGCCCUACUGGCAGUGCAGGCCCUGCAACCCGUAGGUAAGUGGGACACUCUAAGCUUCUUGGAGACAGCUAACUCAGGGCCUGAUUAGCUUACUCCCACCUCCUCUCUUCAGGAAAUCAGACUGUGUAAAGUAAGAGAGAAAAGAAAAUUAGCAUAAGUCUAUUCUAUUGUCUAAUGACAUGUGUUUCACUUGUGUUAAAAGUGAAUUGUGGGCUGGCGUGGUGGCUCAUUUGCCUGUAAUCCCAACACUUUAGGAGGCCACGGCAGGCAGAUUGCUUGAGCCCAGAAGUUUGAAACCAGCCUGGCAACAUGGAAAAACCCCAUCUCUACAAAAAAUACAAAAAUUAGCAGGAUAUGGUAGCUCAUGCCUGUAGUCCCAGUUACUCUGGAGGCUGAGGUGGGAGGAUGGCUUGAACCUGUCAGGUCGAGGCUGCCGUGAGCUGUAAUCACGCCAGUGCACUCCAGCCUGGGUGACAGAAUCAGUUCUUGUCUAAAAAAAAAAAAAAAAAAAAAAAAAAAAAAAAAAGUGAAUUGUAGUACCAGCUACAUUUAUAGAGCCCUUUGUCUUUACAGUCAUGGUGCUAAAGUCUCUGAUCUCAUUUAAUCCUUACAGCCACUCUCACAAUGCUCUGUCCAUUUUACAUAUUGGAAAACUAAGACUCAGGUUAAGAGAGACUUGUUGAAGGUCACAGCUAGUAAGCUGCAGAGAACCAGAAAGUGAAUCUGGGUGGACCUUGACUCUAAACAGUUUGCUUUUAACAACUAUACUCCUUUGAACAUAUUUACCCUAUUUUCUUCAUUAAGUAAAAUGCUUUCUGUGUCUUAAUUUUCAGAACCUCUAAUAAAACAUUUUGCAGAACAUAUUUUCUAAGUAUCCCUGAUCCCCACAAACCAGGCUUUCUUCCCUAAUCUUUUAGUCAUUGCAAACAUGUAAUAGAUGCAUGCUGAGUUUGUGAGCUUGGCACCACACAUGACAGGCUUUGGUUAGGGAAUUCAGCUACAAGCAACCAAACCCUCAUAGCCAAAGCCAGGGGUGCUAGGACCCCUGGCCCUGCAGUGGCCCUGAUAUGGCCUUUCCAUCCUCACAGUUACUGGGACAAAACGUCCUAUGCUUUCACCCUUAUGUGGCUCCAGAGGUAGGAUUUAAUUUUUUAAAAAUCUGCAAUACUGCAGCAGAGAUGUAGUUAUGAGUCAGGGAUGUGUACGUGUGUGUGUCUGUGUGUGAAAGCCAGUCUCUCAGCACCAGCUAAAAAUGUGAAGCAGCAAGUCUGUG